UGAAUGCUUGUUUUCAUGUAUGUCUGCACAUGUAUUGUGUACAUAUAUUACUCUCAGAGGACAGAACAGGACAUCAGAUUCCCUGGAACUGGAGUCACAGACAGUUGUGAGCGUCCCUGUGGGCACUGGAAACCUAACUCUAGUCCUCUGCAAGUGCAGCCCACACUCUUGAGUGCUGAGACAUUAUUAACACAUCAUUUCAUGUCUUCUUCUCCACUUCUCUUCUUGCUGGAAGGAGAUAGUGGGCUUCUGAAAGUCCAGGGUCAUUCUAAUCCCGACACCCGUAUAGGUAUUUUUCCUUUUCUCCCCACACUACUGGCUCGUUUUCAAGCUUUCCUCUGUUCUUCUGGUUUGAGUAUGGUAUGCUUAUAUAUGAAGUUUUGUGGUUCGUCUUGGGUCUGGGCUUUGGUGCCUUGUACUAAUUUUUGGAACUUCUCGGCCAUUAUUCCCUUAAACAAGUCUCUGGUUUUUGUUUUGUUUUUGUUUUCUCUCACCUGCUGCCCUACAGCUGGGUUAGUUCCUCUCUUCGUAAUUGUUGCUCUGUUCUUAAGAGUCUCCAUCCAACUUUCCAUUCUGUUUUUCACCCACAUUUUGGCUCUAAGGGUUUCUAAUGAGUUUAUCAGCAAACGUUCCCCCUUCCCCCAGGCACCUCCAGUCAGGUUUUAUGCCCAACUCAUUGUCUCUGUCACGGUCUUCUUUCAUUUCUAACGUUUUCUUCUUUCUCGUGAUUGUGUUUUCCUUCUGUUCAUCCUACCACUUGUUUUUGUGUGCUGCUUGUUCACUCUUCCAAGUUCUCGGCACAUGAAUAUGAUUUACUUUAAGUUCCUCCCUAGUAACCCCGACAUCGCUGCUCAGUCCGGGUCUCAUCUGUUCCUUCAAAUUAUACCUUUCGCCUCUUAUUACAUCUUACAAUAUUUCUGUGAAAGCAAGAUGUGAUAUACCAGACAAGAAGAAACCGAGACAAAUAAUCCUUUAACCUGAGCUUCUGUGCCUCUCUGUCUGUGGGUUAGGUUAUAUUUAUAAUUCCUAGUGGGCGUCAGAGGCAAGAAUUUGUUCUGGCAUUGGAACAGUCUUAAUCAUCAACUCAACGGGACCUGGAGUCGCCUAGGAGACAAAUCUCCAAGCACACCUCUGCAGGAUUAUCCAGCUUCUGGCCAUGGCUGUGGAGGGCUCUGUUGGCUGAGGUAUCUGAGAUGGAAGACCCUGGGAGGGAGGAACUGUUAAGAAGGGCAGCGUGAGGCUGGAGGGAUGGCCCAGCAGUUAAGAGCAGCUCACAUCAGUCUGAAAUUACAUGUCUAGGAGAUCCAAUGUCUUCUUCUGCCUCCAUGGUGACCAGCCACACAUGGCCCACAUACAUACAUAUAGGCAAACAGUUAUGCACGUAAAGCACAAAGAAAAUAAAAAAAAGAAAACCACGUUUGCUUCCACGGUGUGGAGCAAUUGCUGUCAUUCCCGUCACACGGAGAUGUGUGAGGACUACUCUGUGAUUUUCACAGUGAGAACCUGGGAGAGUCUCUGGGUGCUGCACAUCCCUGAAGAGCCUCAGUGUGUAGAUGCACAUUGCCUCACUGUAGUGUAGGAAUCCACCCAGCCUCACCUGUGGCGCUGACCACGCCCACUUGGGCGUGGUCACGGGUGGGUACUUGAGAGUGUGGUAUUUUGCUCUCUUGUUCCAAUCGGGUCUCCGAGGGCAGCUGGUGUGGGUCCUUGGAGCUGGAACUUGCGGGUCAUCGGUUUCUUAUGUGAUUUCUCCCCCGAGUAAAAUUAACCUGUAUCUAACCAAGUCCGGUGUAUCUUAAUCUGUGCCGCUACAGUGUAGCUGCACAUUGCCUCACCAGUGUGUAUCGCCAAAGCUGGAGUCUCACCUCAACCUCACCCGCAUUUGACCUCCAGUGCUCCGUUCCUUGCAGUCAAGUCUCCCUAUGGCAGCACCGGUUCUGCAGGGGUAAACGGCCCAAGACUUCUCCUACAGGAAGCUAUGGUUCUUCUCAUCCACCCGUGUUCCUUCCACUCGGGUCUGCUCUGCACCUUCUCGUUUGGAUCUAAGUGUGUCUUUGCUCCCCUGCCUUCUUGGUGACCAAGGUCCUGAGCAUGGACUACUCUACCGGAUUCUGAAACCCAAGGAGUCAUCACUGUCAUCCAGUCAAACACAGACUGAAACCCAAUGAGGAACAAGGCUGAAAUCUCUAAACAGAAAAUGAGCCAGGACUGAAGCCCCAGCCUCUGUGUGGAAUAGUGAACCCAGUUAUCUCCUGGCUUCCUGGGGUUCCAUCUCAGCCAGCCCUGCAGCAAUGGCCCUCACUGGAAGGGCGCCAACAUCUUCCAGUAGGAUGCUUCCAUUUGGUGGCAUGGUUUUACAGCUUUCUGUCACGCGGCUUUACAGGACAGGACAGCCUUGGUGACAAACCAUCAAGAGGAAGGAUUUGGGCACAAGUGGAUCAUUAGUGCUGCGAACACACGUGUGGGUUUCUCUAACUUUCAAAAUAUAGAAGUGUGAGUCUGGAAUUUCAAGCCUUGAGAAGAGAAAUGUCCUUCAGGAUACAUUGGAGCCAGCCUAAUCUCAAAUAAUGUACAUGCUUAGGUGAAGAAGACAAGCAAAGGUGAAGAAAGUGCCACAGACUGCAGGGGACAAAGGAAUGUGUGACUCCUUGGCUGUUCUGGAAAAGGGAGACACAGCUUCUACCUGCCUUCCUCUUGCAGUCACUCUAAUGAAUGCAGGUAUUAUGUUCCAAGAUGCCCGGGCAAUGUGGAGUCAUCGUAUGUAAGCUCUGCCCCCCACAGCACCAGCAUACCCUUGUCUGAUGCUCCAGUGAGUUAGAGAGAACCCUGUGCCCACCUUUGAGCCACCCCAGCUAAUACUCAGUGAAGCAGACAUGAGAUAUUCCUACCCAGUUCUGGUUCAAGUAACUGAUAUUUUAUUUGAUAAUGAUAAUAAAUACUUUCCCCUGAGCAAAAUAAAUUAUGCCACUGCGUCAAGUCCCACUGUGUUGGGUCGUUUGUCAAGCCAGGAUGCUGGGAAGCAGGACUGUCACAAUGAGAACAGUCAGUGGCCCAGGCCUUUUUUUUGUGUUCAGCAGAUGCU